CAGCUCCUGUAGCGCAAACAAAACAGAAGUCAGUGGCGCCCCGCCUCCGACGAGCGACGACGCCGACUCCGCCGCGAACGCCGACGAGCUCCUCCCGGCCUCCGCGAGGCCGCGGUUCUCCACCGCUAUUCGAAGCGCCUCUAAUCGACUGCGAAGCUCCGGAGGGGGGAAGAUUAAGCGAGUCUUGUUGCCGGUCGACGUGCUUGGCAGUGGACGGCGACGUGCCGAGGCUGUUGCUCCGAUCGCGAAGGGCGUAGAUCCGCGGCGAAAAGAUCCGCUCGUCCUGUCCGAUCCUUCAGGAGGUUGCUACUCGACUCGUGACGCCGUCAGUCUGCUUGGAAGUUCUGUUCGAUGACAAUUAUGGAAGUGAAAAUAGAAAUUUGAAGAUUACAAACAAACAAUGAUGCGACUGAUGCGACGCUAAUCCUCCUGAGUUCGCUUCAAUUCAGGUUUUUGAGAUGGCUGAUGAUCGGAGUAGUCUCUCUCAUACUUUCAAGUACUUACUGGCUACGCAGUUUUUGGCCAGGGGAAUCCCUUUUCUGUUCAAUACGUGGAUAGUGCGGCAUCUCACUGCAGACGAUUACGCGCUCUACGCGGUAAAAUUUCAUCUGUUCGUCACCUGUGUGUUGUUCCUCAGUCGGGAAGGAUUUCGUCGAGCAUGCAUGCGAGCUGACAUUCAAUGCAAUGGAGCUUCAGCAGGAGAAAAUGUUAUAAAGCUAUUGAAAGUUGCUUGGAUGACUAUACCUCUUGGACUAGCCAUUACUGCUGCAGCCUGUUCUUUUAUCUUCUGGUGGCAGGAACUAAGUUAUUCUGACCCAUAUGCACAAGCUAUUCUUAUAAAUGGUUUUGCAUGUAUGUUGGAACUUUUGGCUGAGCCUUUUUACAUCCUCUCCCAGAACCUGCUUCUGCUCAAAUUACGGUUAUUGGUGGAGACAGCAGCAACAUUUUUACGUUGCUUCACAUUGUAUAUACUCAUUGUUAAGCAAACUAACAUGGAAAAGGCGAUUGUAUUUGCAUUGUCACAAGUUGCAUAUGGAGCUUGCUUCUUCUUUGGUUACUGGGGUUUUUACCUUUUCUCAAGUUCAUUCAAGAGUUCUGAUCUUUUUCCUUUCAGAGUGAGUGGUAUGGCACACUUUGAUGGUCAGCUUGCCAAUAUGUCCAUGAUAUUCACUUUUCAGUCCUUUCGAAAGUUGAUCCUUCAAGAAGGAGAAAAGAUGGUUCUUGUAUGGUUUGAUACACCAUAUAAUCAAGCUGUAUAUGGCCUAGUAGACAAACUAGGGAGCCUCGUGGUGAGGCUGGUUUUCCUUCCCUUUGAAGAAAGUUCGUAUACAGCAUUUGCAAGGUCCGCAUCAGGACAAAGUUCAGACAGAAGUCGGAAGAUAGGAAGAAGUCUUACAGAGGCCCUUAAACUUGUCAUGUUGAUAGGUCUUAUAUUUAUUGCUUUUGGCCCAAGUUACUCUUACUCCCUGAUAAGGUUGUUAUAUGGUCAAAAAUGGAGUGAUGGAGAAGCACCAACAGUCCUCCGCUACUACUGCAUCUACAUCUUUUUCUUGGCUAUGAAUGGAACUUCGGAGGCAUUUCUGCAUGCAGUUGCGGAUGAAAACCAGCUCAAACACUCAAAUGAUAUGUUGCUCGUGUUCUCAUCCAUAUAUGUGAUGCUAAAUAUCAUGUUAAUAAAAUCAACGGGCGCAGUUGGCUUACUUAUGGCAAAUUCUUUGAACAUGCUUUUGAGGAUAAUCUACUCUGCAACGUUCAUAAAAAAGUAUUUCCAGGAUUCUUCAUCCUUUUCAUUUCACAAGUGCUUCCCUUCAGGGUCAACAGUUUUGCUGCUUUCUGGUUUAGCUACACUUACCUCGGAGAAAAUUUUCUUGGACAAGGAAAAGUUUUGGCCCUCAUUUUUAGUUCAUUUUUUUGUUGGGUUGACUUGCUUCUGCACAUCAGCCUUUGUCAUUUAUGCCCAUGAGAAGGCUUUUGUGAACAGAGUUAUCCGCUUUCGUGAUCAUGGCGAUUGAUAUACCAGAAAUCAUACAAAUCCUCAACCAGGUGCGCUCAUGUUUUCUAAGGUGGUAGCCGGUAGGCAAAAGUUUGAUGAUGAAAACUAGAUUGACAUAGAUGAGGGGCACGAGGAAAGGAGGUGAUGUUUUACAAGACACCAGCGCCGUGCUCAAUCGUACUCCAGUCUGACUGUAAGAGACGAGCAAUAGGUUCAAUUGGUAGUCAUGAGCUAUGAGAACUUCAGAUUGAUUAGCAGCAAAAAAUGGAUUGAUGAUUAUUAUUCAGAUGUAGACCAGGCAUUCUUUCUAAAAACAGAAUGGUGACAUUUUUAAUUUUGCAUUUGAAGUAAGAUCCUUGAACAGAUAUUUUCGCUGAGGCCUUUUGCUUCAAAAUGCAGGGAGGCACGAGCUGCCACCUCCGCAAUCUCACUC